UACAGAGGGGGCAAGCGUUAUUCGGAAUUAUUGGGCGUAAAGGGCGCGUAGGCGGCUUUUCAAGUGACGGGUGAAAUCCCUCGGCUUAACCGAGGAACUGCCUGUCAGACUGGAAGGCUUGAGACCGGGGAGAGGUGAGUGGAAUUCCCAGUGUAGCGGUGAAAUGCGUAGAUAUUGGGAGGAACACCAGUGGCGAAGGCGGCUCACUGGACCGGAACUGACGCUGAGGCGCGAAAGCGUGGGGAGCAAACAGG
rnacentral:rRNA from 1 species